UACGGAGGAUGCGAGCGUUAUCCGGAUUUAUUGGGUUUAAAGGGUGCGUAGGCGGACGCUUAAGUCAGCGGUAAAAUUGCGGGGCUCAACCUCGUCGAGCCGUUGAAACUGGGUGUCUUGAGUGGGCGAGAAGUACGCGGAAUGCGUGGUGUAGCGGUGAAAUGCAUAGAUAUCACGCAGAACUCUGAUUGCGAAGGCAGCGUACCGGCGCCCAACUGACGCUGAAGCACGAAGGCGUGGGUAUCGAACAGG
rnacentral:rRNA from 1 species